rnacentral:lncRNA from 1 species
CCCCAGAGCUUCUCUGUUCAACAAAGAUUCUUUUUCCCUUGUUUGUGUAUCACGACUAUUGGAGUUAGCAGCAGUACUGAUGUGUUUUAAGAAAGAAGAUUUUGAUAUUCCUCUAAUUCUAAUAUAUGCAGGUAGUAAGAACUGAAGAGUUUGAAAGGGGCAUUAUCUUCCAAUCCUGUGAUGUGUUAGAAGGAUUUUAAUGGUGCUGUCUUUUAAGUCAUCCCUGGAAGUUCCCAUUUAAAUGUGUCAGUGGACGGAUAAGCCACCCUUUUUUUGCUGCUAUGUUUGAUAAACAUAUUGUUGCAUAGGUCUUCAAAACUGUUACUUCUAGAUGAAAAGGAAAACUUUGAUCCGGAGUAGUCUCCCUUUCAUGGUGUAGAUAAUCUGAUGUGAUGAUUCGGGUGGAAUUACUAGCAGUAAAGUUAUUUGUAGCUUUCAGGUCUAAAGUCGAGCUGUUUAGAAGUUGUUUUCUCUCUCGUGCUAACAUUUAAAGAUAGACAAAAAUGCAUAAAGUCUGGUCUAGUUUACCACCCCUCUCGUCCUCCUUCCCACUCUGAGACUCAAGUCCUUGGUUUUCUGAAGGCUUUCCCUCAUUUUGCAAAUAUCCUGAAAUAAAGCCUUGCUAUUGUUCUACUUGAUCUGCUUCAGCCGUGCUGAAGCUUUGGGAGUGCUGUGUAAAUGGAUUGCAUCUUGACUACAUCCCCGUUUUUUGCCACCAGAGCACCAUUAAAUUACACCAUAGUUGUAAUGCUCGUGGUAAUGACUGCUUGUGUGCCAUUAAGAUUCCGAGCAUUGUUGCUAUUAUCGUGAGGGAAGCCGUAUUAGCAGUGUGAAAUAAUUCUCAUUUGUGCCUGUAAAGCAUUUGUUUUGGAUACCUCAGUGAGCAUAAGAUGAACAAUUGAAAGAAAUGAGUUUGUGGGUUUCUUUUUUCUUAACUGCAAUAGUUUCUGAUUUUACUCAAAAUUUUAUUUUAUUACAUAAGUUGAGUAAAACUUUGGUAUAGAGCUGAAAAAGUAGCCAUUAUUCUCAGCUCCUCGCAUUUUAGUUCCUACAUGCUUCAGUCAUCACAAAAAAGUAGUAUGCUGCUGCCUGUCAAGUGCUGGUUGGAGUGGAGAGCGUAAGGGGAGUGUUCUGUGUUCUAGAGAGCUUAAAGACAGAGAUAAAUGAACGUAGGGUGUGAUUCAAGAAGAUGCGGUUGGUCAGGUAAGAUAAAGAGUACUCCCAACACCCUCAAUUUUGAUAGUUCUCACAAGAGGCAUUGGGAUAAAGUGUUGAAGGACUUGAGAAAAAGUAGCAGUUUUGGGGAUACACAUACACACGCACAUAAUUUCAUAUAUAUGGAGUAUAGAUAUGCUUCAGCCACGCUGAAUAGAGGGGACAGUGCACAAAGGAGUUUGGCACACUUAGCCAGUGAGCGGCCUUGGGCUGGCUGUAGUUGGGAUUUAACCUUGAUUACAAUAGAGAAGUGAUCUGCAGUGUAGGGUAGGCUGCUGCCACAAACUAGAGACAAAAAUACAUCUUAUGUUCACCGUAACUUUUCAUGGCUUCCUAAGCAAACCCAGUAUGAACAGGAAAUAAGAGAACUUUCCUGCUUCUUUAUGCGUUGGGAAGCAUCAGAAAGGUGCAAGCAAAAUAUUCUUAAGGAAUGCACUUAGCAAUUUUUUUUUCCUUUAGUGAGAGGAGGAAUACUUGGCACCUUAGAUGUUGUUUGUGUAAAUGUUUUGGAACACUGGGGAGGUGGCAAUGCAAUGUUCUGUCUUCGGUUCAUUUUUCAAGGUCGUCUUCGGACUCAAGAGUUAGAGACAGGAUUUUCUGCAUAGGGAGUCUGACUGCACCGUUUUUAUCGUACAGAGCUACUGUUCUUAACUAUUAUUUUGCAUGUGACGGGUGACCCAGUAUCCACAUGAUUAAGUGAUCACAAUUUUUUCCUAUAAAAGAAAUUAUACAGAUGUUAGUUAAGAAGUAUUCCUAGUUGGUUAGAUAAAGUCCUAUAACUAGGAUUUUAAAAGAAGUAUUGUUUGCUCUUUUCUCAUUUCCUCUUUAACAUCGAUUCAGCAGGACAUAUAUUCUUUAAUGGAAAAAAAUUGCUUUUCUGAAUGACUCAUGUUAUGCAGUUGUCCAUUUAGCAAAUCACGGAAUCAUAGGAUGGCCUGGUUUGAAAAGGACCACAAUGAUCAUCUAGUUCCAACCCCCCUGCCAUGUGCAGGGUCGCCAACCAGCAGACCAGGCUUCAGCAGUGUUCUACUUCAUGAAGUGGUUUUGCUAAUUUGUACUUGGGCUCUUGGUGUAGGACUCAAGUGCUGUGGUUAGAGGCUCGUGUUUUGUACCUGUAGGUUAAUGACAUAACGUUUGUAUAGUCCUUCUGUUCUUACAGUCCCUUAGAAGAACAGGGCACACAGGGUAUCUACUCUAAGUUACAGUUAUUUGUAUUGUUGAAAGUGGCUGUGUCAGAUCUACAUUAACAGUUCAGUCAUUUUCCAUCUAGAGCAGACAACUUCAGUGCAGAUAAGUUAAUACUGAACAGAAGUAUGAAGUUGUGCAGCCAACACUGAAUUAAACAUAAUGGAUGUUUUGUCUCACGUCGUGUUUUGCUGUAGAACACUGUGAUGAUUUUCUGUGUAGCACUCAGCUACCAUUGCUGAAUGCUGUUUUCCUCUGUUUCUUACUAAAAAAAGAAAACUAAAAGGAUUUCUGCUUUUUCCCUUUCUUCCUGGCUGCUUUGUUUAGAAUUGUCUUGAGUUUUUUUUUUUCCUUGAGGUGUGUCUUCUGGAUUUCCUUCCACCCAAUUAGGGCAAAUAAGUGGUCCUAAAUACUAUAGAAGAGCGGUCAAUUCUUUCUCAGACACCAGUGGGAUCUCUCCUCCUACUUAAUUGUUUCUAAAUGAUUACAAAUUACAUUUCCCUGUUUAGUCUUGGGAAGUGAAGUGCAGUGAAGGACUACUGUGGUGAAAUGUGGAUUGUCCUGAACAAUUUUUAUGGUAAAUUGUGGCCUUUGCAGUGAAAGGGUGCCAUAGAUGGGGGCGGAAAAAAAGCGUGAAAUAUUUCUGCGCUGUUUUGAAGUUGUGAAUUACUUCAGGCCAUCUUCUCGAUUUCCUAAUUGGAUAUGUCAUGUUUUUGCGUAGCUACGUCAGCUGGCUUUUGUGAGGUGAUGAAUUUAGACAGCUCGAGGCCUUUUGGGCGGAGUGCACGUGUGUGUUGUUGCUUUAUCAGAAGCAUUGCAGUGCGUAAGUUGGAACCGAGUUUAAAAUUUACUGCUGUCAGACAUUUGGGGAUACUUAAAUGGCAGUGGCAAGACCCCCUUUUUCUCUGCAAAUGUACUGUUACCAAUCAGAAAUGGGAUGAAUGCAAAUCAUGCUCAGAAAGCUCUUAGCUAAUGUCAGAAGCUCAGAAAAAAAAAUAAUAUUCUGGUUUAUGGCAGCUAUUCCAAUGGGAGGAACAGUUUGUCACUAUAUAAUGUUGUACACCUUAAGUGUGAGCAAUCGCCAGCAAGAUGGUGCAGUGAAUUCAGAAACAUGCCACCUGUUGAUUAACUAAAUGAUAAACUUCCUUUUAUAGCACCUAAAUAAUACCCACUGGAAUAAUUUGUUUUUGUGUGUGUGCUGUUAACUUGGAUGUAUAGUGGUAAACCAGUGGUUUUGGAUCCCUUCUCGUUCCUGGAAGUCAGCUAUGUCUUGCAAAACUAAAACUGAGGUAUCUUUUAGCUUAGCUGUUGUUAAGGCAGGGUGGUAGGUUCUGAGUUAAUUGAAAUGUGCUUAAGUGUUGGCCAGCUCAGUGAUGUUUGUGUGUUGUCAUUCUUUCAAAAUAGGAUUACAUACCCAACAGUUAUUAAUGAGAUUCAUUUUUACAUGUAAUUACAAUGAGGAGUUCUCAGAAUAACAUAACCACUUUCAUUGAGUGCACCUAUGUGUGUUGUCUCACUUCUUAAAAAAGAAACAAGUUUUACCCCAUUCUUCCUCUCAGCUGCAAGUAUUUUUAGAAUUUCCUACUGUUCUGUGAUCUCUCUCAGCCAGUAGGAAAUUCUGUCACACGUGUUAUUGGUCUUAGCCAGAUUCAGAUGGGAGACUGCAGGGAGAGUUUGAAGGAGACGUUGUACUGAUUGUAACCUGUUCCUUUCAGUUCUGUGCACCUGGAAUACGGUGGUGUUCCUACAUAGGCAGCUUACGCAAUGUGAGCAGAAAGGAGGUACUUGCUGUAAGUCAUGAACUUGGUGAGCUCCCUAAAAAAUACUUAAGGAGAAAAGCUAGGCUGGGAGCCCCAACUCUGUAGAGGGUAUUUUGCAGCCUCAGAGAUAUUUUACCUCAGCUAAAUGAAUUGCUGCAGUUGACUGUAUUAGAACCAGAACCGCAUAGAGAAUAUUGUGGAGGCUACACUGUACAUGUGUGGGGCGCUGGUGUGUCAGAGGAUGACAGUUUAUGUACUCCAGCAGUGUGUAGAUAUAAUGAAUUGUUUCCAUAAUUGCAAAGUAAUGCAUUGAGUCUGAUCUUGCAGUGGACCUGGCUAUUAAAUCAGUACGAGUAAUUAACUGGUUAAUACUUCAGACGUGUCAGAGUUUGGGUUGGGGGAGGGAGGAUCCCUCCCAGCUUUGUUCUUUCAGUGGUGCCUAAGUUGUGGCUGGGGUUUCUUUGCUUUCAUUUUUGUUUUCACUCCUAUCUUGUUUCCCUUGGGCAGUUGGUGGCUACGUAAUCAAACUGUGUCUGCUUUUCCUAAUAAUUUUUCCUUUGCAGUCCAGAUAAGCAUGUUGACACAUCCUAAAGCCCAGCUGUUGACAGAAUUAGAUAACGUGAGGAUCUGAGUUAAGGGAUGUAUCCAUGAUAUUUACAAUCUCUUCUGACUGCAGCAAAUGCUGGGAUUCUCCUUGCUGUACCAUCUUUGCAGUCUUACUCAUCUGUAUGUCGUGUUCCACCUUUAACCCAACCUGGUUUUGCUGAAUUGUAGUUUCUUGAGCUACUUUGGUUUUGCUAAUUAACAUUAUUAUUGUGCUAGAAACAUAGCUUUAUAUUUUUUACAGUAAUGGUAGGAAAAUGAUCAGUCUUUUAAAUAGAUACUCACUAGAGGCUUUCUCUUAUUAGGGAUAGGAAUCCAUACUUUUUCACAACCAAGAUUCUGUGAUGAGGUAGGACAUGCUAUUGGUGUAAUUAGCAGCAGUUCUCUCUCUUCCUGUGGAGACAUUAGUGGUUCAUAAGCUUUGGUUUGUCUGGAAUUUUUAAUGCUUUUGCUAGAUACUAAUGUUGUGGUAUUUCGGCGUCCAUCAUAUAGCAGACUCUUUCUGCAAAAAAACAG